rnacentral:rRNA from 1 species
UUGAGGUGAAACUCAAUGGAGGACCGAACCGACUACCGUUGAAAAGUUAGCGGAUGACUUGUGGCUAGGGGAGAAAUUCCAAUCGAACCCGGAGAUAGCUGGUUCUCCCCGAAAUAGCUUUAGGGCUAGCGUCGGAAAGAACCUUAGUGAAGGUAGAGCACUGAAUGUGUGAUGGCCCCAUCCCGGGGUACUGAAUACAAUCAAACUGCGAAUGUCAUUAAGGAUGUCCGGCAGUCAGACUGUGAGUGAUAAGGUCCAUGGUCAAGAGGGAAACAGCCCAGACCGCCAGUUAAGGUCCCAAAAUACAGGCUAAGUGGAAAAGGAUGUGGGGAUGCCCAGACAACUAGGAGGUUGGCUCAGAAGCAGCCACCCUUCAAAGAGUGCGUAACAGCUCACUAGUCGAGUGACCCUGCGCCGAAAAUGUACCGGGGCUAAGCCUGAUACCGAAACUGCGGAUUGUAGGAAACUAUAGUGGUAGGGGAGCGUUGUAUACGAGUAGAAGCCGUACCGUGAGGAGCGGUGGAUUGUAUAGAAGUGAGAAUGCCGGUGUGAGUAGCGAGAUGUAGGUGAGAAUCCUACACACCGAAAGCCCAAGGAUUCCAGGGGAAGGUUCGUCCGCCCUGGGUAAGUCGGGACCUAACGCGAGGCCGAAAGGCGUAGUGGAUGGAAAGCAGGCGAAAGAUUCCUGCACCCGUAUAUGGAGCGAAGGAGUGACGGAGACGGAUAGUGUGACCCUCUUAAUGGAUUGAGGGCGAAGCGAAGCGGCUGGUUACCAGGCAAAUCCGGUAACUGAAAGGCUAGAGCGUGACAGGUAAGCGAAAUCUACGGAAAGUAGCGAAGCACAUGAUGACGGCUUCCAGGAAAAGCUUCUGGCAAUGCAUAUGCGGCCCGUACCGAAAACCGACACAGGUGGGCAGGGAGAGAAUCCCGAGGUGAGCGAGAGAACUGUUGCCAAGGAACUCGGCAAAAUGACUCCGUAAGUUAGCGAGAAGGAGUGCUUAAGCAAUUAAGCCGCAGUGAAGAGGCCCAAGCGACUGUUUAACUAAAACACAGCUCUCUGCGAAGUCGCAAGACGAAGUAUAGGGGGUGACACCUGCCCGGUGCUGGAAGGUUAAGAGGAUCUGUUAAGAGCGAUCUGAAGCAGUGAUCCGAAGCCCCAGUGAACGGCGGCCGUAACUAUAACGGUCCUAAGGUAGCGAAAUUCCUUGUCAGGUAAGUUCUGACCCGCACGAAAGGUGUAACGAUUUGGGCGCUGUCUCGGCAGCAGACUCGGUGAAAUCUUAGUACCUGUGAAAAUGCAGGUUACCCGCAACUAGACGGAAAGACCCCAUGGAGCUUUACUGCAGCCUGAUAUUGAAUUCUGGUCAUACAUGUACAGGAUAGGUGGGAGACAAAGAGACGUGCACGCCAGUGUACGAGGAGUCGACGUUGGGAUACCACUCUUGUGUGACCGGGGUUCUAACCUGGUAUCGAGAACAGGUACGGGGAGAGUGUCAGGUGGGCAGUUUGACUGGGGCGGUCGCCUCCCAAAGAGUAACGGAGGCGCCCAAAGGUACGCUCAGAUUGGAUGGAAACCAAUCGACGAGUGCAAUUGCAGAAGCGUGCUUGACUGUGAGACUUACAAGUCGAACAGGGACGAAAGUCGGGAAUAGUGAUCCGGCGGUGCCGAAUGGAAGGGCCGUCGCUCAACGGAUAAAAGCUACCCUGGG